rnacentral:rRNA from 1 species
UACGGGGGGAGCAAGCGUUGUUCGGAUUUACUGGGCGUAAAGGGCGCGUAGGCGGCCACUGCAAGUCAGUUGUGAAAUCUCCGGGCUUAACCCGGAAAGGUCAACUGAUACUGCAGGGCUAGAGUGCAGAAGGGGCAACUGGAAUUCUCGGUGUAGCGGUGAAAUGCGUAGAUAUCGAGAGGAACACCUGCGGCGAAAGCGGCUCACUGGACCACUACUGACGCUGAUGCGCGAAAGCUAGGGGAGCAAACAGG